rnacentral:rRNA from 1 species
UACAGGGGGAGCAAGCGUUGUUCGGAAUUACUGGGCGUAAAGGGCGCGUAGGCGGUCAUGUAAGUCUUGUGUGAAAUCCCUCGGCUCAACUGGGGAACUGCACAGGAAACUGCUUGGCUUGAGUUCGGGAGAGGGAAGCGGAAUUCCGGGUGUAGCGGUGAAAUGCGCAGAUAUCCGGAGGAACACCGGUGGCGAAGGCGGCUUCCUGGACCGUAACUGACGCUGAGGCGCGAAAGCUAGGGGAGCAAACGGGAUUAGAUACCCGAGUA